rnacentral:rRNA from 1 species
GAGGGAUCAUUACUGAGUUUACGCUCUAUAACCCUUUGUGAACAUACCUAUAACUGUUGCUUCGGCGGGUAGGGUCUCCGUGACCCUCCCGGCCUCCCGCCCCCGGGCGGGUCGGCGCCCGCCGGAGGAUAACCAAACUCUGAUUUAACGACGUUUCUUCUGAGUGGUACAAGCAAAUAAUCAAAACUUUUAACAACGGAUCUCUUGGUUCUGGCAUCGAUGAAGAACGCAGCGAAAUGCGAUAAGUAAUGUGAAUUGCAGAAUUCAGUGAAUCAUCGAAUCUUUGAACGCACAUUGCGCCCGCCAGCAUUCUGGCGGGCAUGCCUGUUCGAGCGUCAUUUCAACCCUCAAGCUCUGCUUGGUGUUGGGGCCCUACAGCUGAUGUAGGCCCUCAAAGGUAGUGGCGGACCCUCCCGGAGCCUCCUUUGCGUAGUAACUUUACGUCUCGCACUGGGAUCCGGAGGGACUCUUGCCGUAAAACCCCCAAUUUUCCAAAGGUUGACCUCGGAUCAGGUAGGAAUACCCGCUGAACUUAAGCAUAUCAAUAAGGCGGAGGA